AACGCACCUUGCGCCCUUUGGUAUUCCGAAGGGCAUGCCCGUUUGAGUGUCAUUGUAUUCUCAAACCCACCCCUCGCUUUUCGUGAGUGCGGUCGGGUUUGGAUUUGGAGGUUUUUGCGGUUUUUCAAAUUGCUCCUCUUGUAUGCAUUAGCUGGAACCUUUGGACCGGCCUUCGGUGUGAUAACUAUCUACGCCGUGGUCACCGGGUGUCGAGGAUCUGCUUAUAAUUGUCUCCGGACAAACUUUUCUGACAUCUGACCUCAAAUCGGGUAGGACUACCCGCUGAACUUAA
rnacentral:misc_RNA from 1 species